rnacentral:rRNA from 1 species
UACGUAGGGUGCAAGCGUUAUCCGGAAUUAUUGGGCGUAAAGAGCUCGUAGGCGGUCUGUCGCGUCUGCUGUGAAAACUCAGGGCUUAACCCUGAGCUUGCAGUGGGUACGGGCAGACUAGAGUGCGGUAGGGGAGACUGGAAUUCCUGGUGUAGCGGUGAAAUGCGCAGAUAUCAGGAGGAACACCGGUGGCGAAGGCGGGGUCUCUGGGCCGAUACUGACGCUGGAGGAGCGAAAGCGUGGGGAGCGAACAGG